rnacentral:rRNA from 1 species
UGGGGAAUAUUGCACAAUGGGCGCAAGCCUGAUGCAGCCAUGCCGCGUGUAUGAAGAAGGCCUUCGGGUUGUAAAGUACUUUCAGCGGGGAGGAAGGGAGUAAAGUUAAUACCUUUGCUCAUUGACGUUACCCGCAGAAGAAGCACCGGCUAACUCCGUGCCAGCAGCCGCGGUAAUACGGAGGGUGCAAGCGUUAAUCGGAAUUACUGGGCGUAAAGCGCACGCAGGCGGUUUGUUAAGUCAGAGGUGAAAUCCCCGGGCUCAACCUGGGAACUGCAUCGGAUACUGGCAAGCUUGAGUCUCGUAGAGGGGGGUAGAAUUCCAGGUGUAGCGGUGAAAUGCGUAGAGAUCUGGAGGAAUACCGGUGGCGAAGGCGGCCCCCUGGACGAAGACUGACGCUCAGGUGCGAAAGCGUGGGGAGCAAACAGG